rnacentral:tmRNA from 1 species
GGGGCUGAUUUGGCUUUGACAGCAAGAUGAAUUGAUUUGUAAGCAUGUCGAGCAACGCAACUAACUCGUUAAACUUUUUGCAACUUUUUAAACGGCGAAAAUAACUACGCUCUCGCAGCAUAAUCUUGCCAGGCACGAUUAGCUAAAUUCCUCGCUCAAGGAGUGAGGAACGAGAUGUCUCGCAAACAAUGCUUCCCGGUGGUUGUUUGCACAUGGGGCACCAUUCACAUUGGGAUAGUUUGGGUAGAUUUUUCGAUGCCCUUGCGAAAUUCAGAAAAUAAGGAAACAAUAGAUUGUUCUUUUUCAGUUGUUUCUCGAAAAAAUUUUAAAGGACUAAACAUGUAGAAAGCAUUUUGGUUUCUUGUUUGGACCAGGGUUCGACUCCCUGCAGCUCCACCU